GUGGUAGUAGCUCAGUUGGUUAGAGCAUCGGAUUGUGGUUCCGAGGGUCGCCCGUUCGAGUCGGGUUUACCACCCCA
rnacentral:tRNA from 1 species